AGAUUGAACGCUGGCGGCAUGCCUAACACAUGCAAGUCGAACGGGAGUAGCAAUACUCUAGUGGCGGACGGGUGAGGAAUACGUAGGAAUUUGCCCUUAAGUGGGGGAUAACCCGGGGAAACCCGGAUUAAUACCGCAUGACCUCGAAAGAGCAAAGUGGGGGAUCGCAAGACCUCACGCUUUUGGAGAAGCCUACGUCGGAUUAGCUAGUUGGUGAGGUAAUGGCUCACCAAGGCGACGAUCCGUAACUGGUCUGAGAGGAUGAUCAGUCACACCGGACUGAGACACGGUCCGGACUCCGUACGGGAGCAGCAGUGGGGAAUA
rnacentral:rRNA from 1 species